rnacentral:tRNA from 1 species
AGGCGUGUAGCUCAGUGGCAGAGCAUCACUUUGACGUAGUGAUGGUCGGUGGUUCGAUUCCACUCAUGCCUA